AUUGAACGCUGGCGGCAGGCUUAACACAUGCAAGUCGAACGAGUGGCGGACGGGUGAGUAAUGUCUGGGAAUCUGCCUGAUGGAGGGGGAUAACUACUGGAAACGGUAGCUAAUACCGCAUACCAUCGGAUGUGCCCAGGUGGGAUUAGGUAGUUGGUGGGGUAAUGGCUCACCUAGGCGACGAUCCCUAGCUGGUCUGAGAGGAUGACCAGCCACACUGGAACUGAGACACGGCCCAGACUCCUACGGGAGGCAGCAGUGGGGAAUAUUGCACAAUGGGCGCAACCCUGACGCAGCCAUGCCGCGUGAAUGAAGAAGGCCUUCGGGUUGUAAAGCACUUUCAGUGGGGAGGCGUUAACUGCAGAAGAAGCACCGGCUAACUCCGUGCCAGCCGCCGCGGUAAUAC
rnacentral:rRNA from 1 species